rnacentral:rRNA from 1 species
UCUACGGGAGGCAGCAGUGGGGAAUAUUGCGCAAUGGGCGAAAGCCUGACGCAGCGACGCCGCGUGAGGGAUGAAGGUCUUCGGAUCGUAAACCUCUGUCAGCAGGGAAGAACGGUCACUGUGCUAAUCAGCAGUGAAUUGACGGUACCUGCAAAGGAAGCACCGGCUAACUCCGUGCCAGCAGCCGCUGUAACACGGGGGGUGCGAGCGUUAAUCGGAAUUACUGGGCGUAAAGCGCGAGUAGGCGGUAUGUCAAGUCAAGGGUGAAAUCCCCGCGCUCAACGUGGGAACUGCCUUUGAAACUGGCAAACUGGAGUGUGUGAGAGGAUAGUGGAAUUCCAGGUGUAGGAGUGAAAUCCGUAGAUAUCUGGAGGAACAUCAGUGGCGAAGGCGACUAUCUGGCACAUAACUGACGCUGAGGAGCGAAAGCGUGGGUAGCAAACAGGAUUAGAUACCCCUGUAGUC